CCUACGGGUGGCAGCAGUGGGGAAUUUUGGGCAAUGGGCGAAAGCCUGACCCAGCAACGCCGCGUGAAGGAAGAAGGCUUUCGGGUUGUAAACUUCUUUUGACAGGGAAGAGCAGAAGACGGUACCUGUGGAAUAAGAUACGGCUAACUACGUGCCAGAAGCCGCGGUAAUACGUAGGUGGCAAGCGUGGUACGGAUUUACUGGGUGGAAAGGGCGGGUAGCCGGGCUGACAAGUCAGAUGUGAAAUCCGGGGGCUCAACCCCCGAACGGCAUUUGAAACUGUUGUUCUUGAGUAUCGGAGAGGCAGGCGGAAUUCCUGGUGUAGCGGUGAAAUGCGUAGAUAUUAGGAGGAACACCAGUGGCGAAGGCGGCCUGCUGGGCGACAACUGACGGUGAGGCGCGAAAGCGUGGGGAGCAAACAGGAUUAGAUACCCCAGUAGUC
rnacentral:rRNA from 1 species